AUACGGAGGAUGCAAGCGUUAUCCGGAUUUAUUGGGUUUAAAGGGUGCGUAGGCGGAUGAUUAAGCGUGAGGUGAAAUGCCACUGCUCAACAGUGGAACUGCCUCGCGAACUGGUUGUCUUGAAUGCUCCUGCCGUGGGAGGAAUGUGUGGUGUAGCGGUGAAAUGCAUAGAGAUCACACAGAACACCGAUUGCGAAGGCAUCUCACGAAGGGGUGAUUGACGCUGAGGCACGAAAGCGUGGGGAUCAAACAGGAUUAGAUACCCUGGUAGUCCACGCAGUAAACGAUGAUAACUAACCGCUGGGUCGUAGUGAUUCAGUGGCCAAGCGAAAGCGAUAAGUUAUCCACCUGGGGAGUACGACCGCAAGGUUGAAACUUAAAGGAAUUGACGGGG
rnacentral:rRNA from 1 species